rnacentral:rRNA from 1 species
GAUGAACGCUGGCGGCGUGCCUAAUACAUGCAAGUCGAGCGAACGGACGAGAAGCUUGCUUUUCUGAUGUUAGCGGCGGACGGGUGAGUAACACGUGGAUAACCUACCUAUAAGACUGGGAUAACUUCGGGAAACCGGAGCUAAUACCGGAUAAUAUUUUGAACCGCAUGGUUCAAAAGUGAAAGACGGUCUUGCUGUCACUUAUAGAUGGAUCCGCGCUGCAUUAGCUAGUUGGUAAGGUAACGGCUUACCAAGGCAACGAUGCAUAGCCGACCUGAGAGGGUGAUCGGCCACACUGGAACGUAGACACGGUCCAUACGCCUACGGGAGGCAGCAGUAGGGAAUCUUCCGCAGUGGGCGAAAGCCUGACGGAGCAACGCCGCGUGAGUGAUGAAGGUCUUCGGAUCGUAAAACUCUGUUAUGGGGGAAGAACAUAUGUGUAAGUAACUGUGCACAGCUUGACGGUACCUAAUCAGAAAGCCACGGCUAACUACGUG